AUCUGAGAUGGAGGAGGUACCACAGCAGACCGUUCCUGUGUAUGUGUGUCUUCCGUGUGUUUCAGCUGCAGCAGUUAGGUCCUAGGUUGUUCCUCUCCAUGUUCUUUCAGAGUCCAUUUCCAGCUACUGAAACAGUAACCAAGAUAUGAACACUAAAACAAUAACCCAGGGUGUGUUAAACCCCAGGAACAACAAUGGAGAUGGUACCAGCAAGAACUUGAUCAGAAAGGAAUGCUGGACACCAGAUGGAAACCAAGGUCACUAGAUCGGAGGCUGACUUUACUAUUCUCACACCCAGGACCACGAACUGGAGAUGUGAUGGGGAAGAUUGGAUAAAUACUUCUUCAGUAAGAAAAAGAGUCAACUUCUUGGUUCUCUUUCAAGCUGUUAUGGAAGAUCUUUUCUUCACGGGCAAUAUGAAAAUGAAAAGAUAUGUCAUGCUGCGGAUGUAAGGACAC
rnacentral:lncRNA from 1 species